AGAUUCCCCCAAAAUAGUGCUCAAAUUUUUUUAUGUAAAUUUCCUUGAGGUGCCCUCAGGUGGCAAGAAACAAUAGUGGGGGAAAAUCGCAUGUAGACGGCACCUAGUGAAAUUUCAAACUCUUAAAGAUGCCAAGGAUCCUUGGCUAAGGAUAAAGAGAGAAUCCUACAAGUUUCCAGAGGGAGAUAAUACAGUUUCAACAGUCAGACUGGUGCCCAAUUGUUCAUCUUCAAAGUGUGAGCUAUCUACAAAAUUCUGAAGGAAAUUGAUUUUGAACCUAGAAUUCUACACCCAGUUUAUGAUUCUUAAGAGUGAAAGCAAAAUAAUAAUGCUCUUGGACACGCAGAAAAGACUGGAUGUAUAAUUUGUGGAGCUCAGGGCAAUAUGAAAAUGUGGAGUCCCUAAUUUAAAAAUACACUAAGAAUUUUAGGAUAGCAUCAAUGGCAGAAGAGUCAGAGUCAUUGUGAUGCAAUGAGAGUAAAACUUGACCAGCCAUUGCUGGCUUUGAAGAUGAAAGGGGACCCAAGGCAAGGAAUGCAGGCAGCUUUGAGAAGCUGGGAAUGGCAAAGAAAUGGAUUCUCACCUAGAGCAGCUGAAGGAACACCUUGAUUUUUGCCCAGUGAGAUCCAUUUUGGACAUAGGACCUCCAGAACUCUCAGGAAGUUCCUGAACUUUCAAUAAGCAGUUCUCACAGACCAUUGAAGAGCCGAUUCCUGCACAUGCCACACAGACAGCCAUUUAGCAACUCGAAGUCACUUCGUAGCCACCGUCCCAGAUGCCACUAGGGGAUGAGUUCACAAAUAUGGUGAGACAGGGAAUAAGCUCUCCUCCCCACUCUAGCCUCCACCCCAGCUUGAGGUUUUGCAUCCCUGCCACUUGAAGGCAUUUCCAGAAGUACUUCAAGCUGUUGGCCACAGAAUAUAUUCAUCCUCGCCUUCCCUGUCAUGACUGUCCGGGCUCUGGCUCAGAGCAGGAGCUCCAUGGCUGAUGAACCGACCUCAUGACUCUCAAGCCACAUAUUCUUCUGUAAAUCAGCUGCUACCUGACCAAGGCCCAGAACAGUCACUGUCUGAGUCAUCUUGAGCAAUCUUGUAUUAACAGUGAACUACAGAGGUGCAGAAGAAUUUAAUCCAUAGUUGGAUGUGAACUCCAGCCUCUGAGACUGAGUUCUGGCUUUUCCUGGCCUAUUUGAUCUCAAAUUGAGCUCCCUAUUCUUACCCAGCUCAUUUUGUGCCUGUGGGGCCUGAUUGACUCCUGUAGACUGCAUUUUCUGGACUACCUUGCUUUCUGACUUCUGCAGAGACUCAGCUGUUGGGAAGUAUUGAUGGGUGUCAUGAAAGCAGGAAGAGGGGACAAGACUCGACUGUAAUGGAGAGAAAGCUUUCUCAUUUCCCAUUUCAGCUUGCUGAAUUAUUCAUCACAAAUGUUCCACUGGUAUUUCCUCUUCCGUCAGAGUUCUGCAGUUCCAGAAACACUCUGCCCUGGAGUUGCAAUCAGAGCAAUUAGCUGCACUUAUGGGACCCAGCCUGUCCAAGCCCUCAGGUUCCCCGCCUGGGGCUGGAAGAAUGAGAGCCUGCCCUAGCCAGAGUCUGAUUUUUCUGCAGGGGUGUGGCCAGCCUAAAGUUGUAAGGGCCCUGAAACCCUGUGGGCUUCCCGUCCCUCUUUGCCAGGACCAGCUGAUCAAGUAACUAUUAUGUUGAGAGUUCAGGAGUUUAGUUCACCCCACCCCUUGUCUGACUGGCUGAUUCCUUUAAGCCUCAGUGUCUUUGGCUCCGAGUGGGAAGCACGGGCCUUGCCUGCCUGCCUUGCAGUGUCCUUGUGGCUCCAAGGGGCCCACCGUGGCCUCAAGCAGUGUUUAUCCCUGGGAUUCCCAAGGGUUUUGCCAACUGGUAGAAGUUCCUUCAGAAAUUAAUUUGCCUCAGAGGGUGAUUUCUCUCUAGCAGGCUUUCUCGUUUUGUUACGUUUAUCCCUGUUGCAUGGCCUGUCUCUGAGCCAAAGUAUGAAUUCUGCAUUCCCCCUGCUGUGUCUCCUUUGCAUCUGCCCUCAAACCUGUCUUCCCUGGCCUGCAUUUGAGUCCUACUCAAAGCAGUGAAAGAUAAGACUCACCCAGCAGCCCUUGGCACAGGAAAAGGAGAAGCCAUUCCUCCCACCAUCACAGAUCUCUCUGGGCUGUCCCCUGGGGAAUCCUGCGUGGUGCGGUCGUGAGCCUGCACCUGGGCGGCAGGCAUGAAGCCGCGCCCGGUGACCUGGGCCCCGCAGGCCUCCUUUGCCAGCGUGCCUGACAGGCUGGCCGCCAGGGGGCGCUCGAGAGGCCGAACGGCUGGAGGUGGAAGCGGCUCCUCUCCCUCUGCCUUCUGCUCCUGGGAGCACCGUGCAGAGCUUCUCCGGGGCGGCGGCAGCUCCUUCCCAAAGCAGCCACUCAAUCCGCAUUGCAUUUUUUCCAGUGUCCAUUCUGCAGAAUUGGCUGCAUUGUCCGCUCUCUGGCCAGAGACACUGCACAAGCCAUCUGGCAGCCCUGCCUCAGCCCCGGGGUAUCCUCUGAGCUGAGACACCAGUGCCAGCCGGCUGCCUCCUCCACCUCACACCUAGAUUUGUGGGUCCCAGCACUGACAGGUCCCCCUUUCCAAGCUUCUAAUCAUUUCAGUAAUUCCAAUAUCUUUCCUCAGUGCCCCCAGCCCAAGGGGAGGUGGCUGCUGUGGUACCUUAGAGUCCUCUUUACCUUCUCAACUUCAGCGAACACUUCAAUACAGUGUUGUAUGUCAAUUA